rnacentral:piRNA from 1 species
UUUUAGCUUAUGGUUCCAGAGGGGCUAGAA